AGACCGUUCUCUUUCGAGGCCGGUCAUCGGAAUGGGUACAAUUUAAACCCUUUAACGAGUAUCUAUGAGAGGGCAAGUCUGGUGCCAGCAGCCGCGGUAAUUCCAGCUCUCAAAGUGCAUAGAAUUAUUGCUGCGGUUAAAAAGCUCGUAGUUGGAUCUGUGCCAUAGGACGGGGUCUUUCCUAACGGAUUUGUACUUCGCUCCUAGGCUUUUCAGUCGGUUUUCCCGUAAUUGCAUUCAUUUGUCGUUGCGGGUGGCUGACGAGUUUACUUUGAGAAAAUCAGAGUGCUCAAUACAGGCGUCUAGCUUGAAUGAUUGUGCAUGGAAUAAUAGAAAAAGGAUUUCGGUCCUCUUUUAUUGGUUUUGUGGACUGAGAUAAUGGUUAACAGGGACAAACGGGGGCAUUCGUAUCGCUGCGUGAGAGGUGAAAUUCUUGGACCGUAGCGAGACGCCCUACUGCGAAAGCAUUUGCCAAGAAUGUCUUCAUUAAUCAAGAACGAAAGUCAGAGGUUCGAAGGCGAUCAGAUACCGCCCUAGUUCUGACCGUAAACGAUGCCAACUAGCGAUCUGCCGGUGGAUUUUUAGCCCUGGUAGGUAGCUUCCCGGAAAAAAGUCUUCCGGUUCCGGGGGAAGUAUGGUUGCAAAGCUGAAACUUAAAGGAAUUGACGGAAGGGCACCACCAGGAGUGGAGCCUGCGGCUUAAUUUGACUCAACACGGGGAAACUCACCCGGCCCGGACACCGUAAGGAUUGACAGAUUGAUAGCUCUUUCAUGAUUCGGUGGUUGGUGGUGCAUGGCCGUUCUUAGUUCGUGGAUCGAUUUGUCUGGUUUAUUCCGAUAACGAGCGAGACUCUAGCCUACUAAAUAGUAACGAGAUUGCCAUUGUCUUAGUUGCUUCUUAGAGGGAUUUUCGGUGUUUAGCCGCACGAGAUUGAGCAAUAACAGGUCUGUGAUGCCCUUAGAUGUCCGGGGCUGCACGCGCGCUACACUGGCAAAAUCAGCGUGCUGUAUCCAUUCUCGAAAGGGAUUGGUAAACCCAUGAAAAUUUGCCGUGAUCGGGAUCGGAAAUUGCAAUUAUUUUCCGUGAACGAGGAAUUCCAAGUAAGUGCGAGUCAUCAACUCGCUCUGAUUACGUCCCUGCCCUUUGUACACACCGCCCGUCGCUGCCCGGGACUGAGCCAUUUCGAGAAGAUCAGGGACCGAUGAAUUGUGGCCUCUUCGCGGAGGUUCGGUUCGUUGGAAACUGAUUUGAUCGCAGUGGCUUGAACCGGGCAA
rnacentral:rRNA from 1 species